rnacentral:rRNA from 1 species
UACGGAGGGUGCAAGCGUUAUCCGGAUUUACUGGGUUUAAAGGGUGCGUAGGUGGGUUUGUAAGUCAGCGGUGAAAUCUCCAGGCUUAACCUGGAAAUUGCCAUUGAUACUAUAGAUCUUGAAUUAUCUGGAGGUGAGCGGAAUAUGUCAUGUAGCGGUGAAAUGCUUAGAUAUGACAUAGAACACCAAUUGCGAAGGCAGCUCACUACGGGUAUAUUGACACUGAGGCACGAAAGCGUGGGGAUCAAACAGG